CCCGCCCCUGUCAGCUCCCCUGGAAACCUCUUCCCCUGAGCUGAAGAUCCAAAUCAUGUGUUUCUUCACCUUUACUUUACACACCAAUAUUUGUAGUCACCCUCCCCUUGCAUUUCAUGAAGGGAGGGUGACCUGUGAAAUGUCAAUGCGGCAUCUGGAUGCCAACCAUUUGAUCUCAAUCAAUUUCAUGGGAAGACACAUUAGAUCUUCUUGAAUUAUGUACAGUGUUGUUUCGAAGUUCAGUGUUUAAUUUGAAUUAUGUACAGGGAGCGAAUUUUAGAGCAGAUGGUGUUUUGCCUAGUGGCGCGCUGUUGAGCUUUGACCACGAGAGAAAAAUGCUACCAUUCUCACAAUCAUCCUACAUCUCAUAAGAAAUGAGGUGGUGUUUUUUGUCUUGCAGUGACGUUAUACCAUGCUAUUAUUUUCAGUUCUGUUAUAUAGAAUACUAUCAUUAUGUGAUCUUGCUGACACAGAUUCAGUCUUGAUUUAACUUAAACAAGCAUCAUUCUCCAUUUAUAACAGAAAUUUGCCGAAGUAGCCUUUUCUUCGGGGCUACUAUACUAGUAAAGCAGAGACAGUCUGUAAAAAGAGAGAAUCCCACACAUGCGCAGAAGCUUUGGAUUUAGUUGUCGGAAAAUGGUUCUAGAGAAUUCGGAUCUGCAGCCACUCUGUAUUUUGAAACUUCUCUUAAUGGAUUCAAGGGUACAAUCCUUGAUUCUGUUUAAUCCCCCCCCCCCCCCCCAGCUAAAUGGCAGCUCUGCUUUUUGGUUUGCUAAAAAGCUGCUGAAGGACGUGACUGAAGAAAUGUAAUAAGUGGGUAACAUUCAUUGAAAUUACCAUUGAACAGCUGUACAUAUUGCAGAUUUCACCUUUAAAAAUUUUUUGACACUUUCUUUAGAAAUAUAUGAAAUGUACCAGUGAUCAGUUGGAUGAACACCCAUCCACCAACAUGCUAGCAGUGCUAAUUUACAUUAAGUUAUAAAAAGACUGAUAUUGUUAGGGCCACGCAACAGGAACCGGCGACCAUCGCACCACUUUGUAAAGAUGAGCAUGUCAGGUGGGACUUGGACAGUCAAAACUGGGGAUGACGAGACGACACUGCUAUUCUUAGCUCUUUUGUUUAGUGUUGAGAGAAGAGUUGGGACCCUACUAUCACUACCACCCUAUAACCAGGCCACGAACUCCAGACUGCCAGCCACCAAAGUAGUUCUCAUUAUUACGAGAUGUGGAAGAUCAAACGCUACAGUUCAGCAUGGCUGAGAGACAUUUCCAGCCAGCCCCCAUCACGUACGCUUUGGAAGCAAAGUACAGGCCCUAUAUUGAGGGUAACUAAGGAAUAAGCUAUGUGGAUGGAAGCCAUCGCAGCCUUGAAAUGUUUUCAAACAUCUGGUCGGACAACAAGGCCAGCAUCGUGUUCACUAGGCACCGGAUGGAACACAAUGGACUGAAACAGGUAGGGAUUUCCUGGCCUUGCCCCAGGAAAUUCCAGACUGACCUGGAAUUUGAAUUGAAUUAAAUGGAAUGUACAGGGAGCGAGAACUGAAUGAAAAUGCAAUUUGUGGAAUUGACACCAACCCUUGUACAGUGUGAUACUUUAUCCUCAACUGCAAUUAAAACAACAUGUAAUUGAGCUCAUUAACUCCAUCAGUUUAAGUUGAUAUAUGUUUUAGGCUUUUAGUUUACAUUUUCAGAAUAAGAAUAUCUGGGCUGCUAUCAAUUAACAAUCUUGAGGACACCAAGCAAAAGCAAUCAAUGCCCAUCCAUGCUUCUUCUCACACAGUAGUUUGAAGUAACAUUGCAAUGGUACGAAUGGUAAGAAAGAGGAUAUACUAAUUCAGUGGUGCACAGCAUCCCUGCACAAACCAAUCAGACCUAUAGCAUGAUUGAUUGACACUUCUCCGUUCAGCUCUGGACUAAUUGGCAGAGGAGUUGCAGGGAAGCUGUACUCAAGGGCCGAACUGUCACAUGAAAAAGAAGACAAGGGAGUGACCGUGGGAGCCCCUUCCCUUUCCCAAUGGGGUGGCCUGUGACUGGCCUGACACCAGAGCUGUAUGACUGCAGUGAGGUGUAUAACAUCAGUAAUGCCCAGACAAUUGGCUUGGACAAGGUGGGGUUCACGUAGCUAGUGGUGGACGAGGUCAAGCUGCACAUCCGCAUGGAGAAGAGGUUAGAGGGGGAAGAGAAAAUCGAUGAUCUGGUGCCUUUACUGAAGUAAAGCUGAGGAAGAUGGGAAGAAAAGGGACUCCUGUCCUAUUCAACACAAACUUCACAUUUUAGUAGUUUGACUGGUAGCGUGCUAUCAUAAUACUGUACGGGGCUUUUACGAGAAUGACAUCGGUAUUUCUAAAAACCAACAAUAUUAUAACAGCUAUGUUAAUGUUGAUUGUACUAUGUGUUCUAAUUAAAUUAACACUAUGACACACAGUUGAAGUUUACAUAUACUUAGGUUAGAGUCAUUAAAACUAGUUUUUCAACCACUCCACAAAUUUCUUGUUAACAAACUAUUGUUUUGGCAAGUC